AUGUCCUCCAUCACGAUCUCGAAUGAAACUAUCCAUGGAAUCGUGCGCCGUGUGAAACGUAAAUCAUCGCCGUUCUUAACCGAGACUCAGGUUAAGCUCCGUCUCGGAACCGCCGUGGGGUUAGGAGUAAAGCAUCCCGAGGUUCGCGCAUCUCGUUGGGCGUGGAGAAGCAUUGGGAACCCCAAUAUCUUUCUUUGGAGCAGUUUCUUUUCCCGUCCCCUCGCCCCGGCAUAG
rnacentral:rRNA from 1 species